UUGGGCUACAUGCUGCUUGGAGAACAUGCAUGUCUUCUGUAGCCAGAAUUAAAACUACCUUGAUUAGUGAUGGCAGGUUCCAGGUGAAACGGAUUUAAUUUUAACCAUUGCUUACAAUUGCACUCCUAUAUUUGGAAGAAUUUUUGUAAAGUUUUCUUUUGUUAUUCAAUAUUGUCAAAUAUUAACAGCGUUUAGAGAACUCCAUUUAGACUGCUCUUGUUUUCUUUUGACUUUAUUACAUGAAGGUCCUUCAUUGCUGGUGGGCAUUUUUGUCAUUUUAAGAUAAUAUCUAUUUUCCAAAACAGGUUUCAGCUCAGUAAUGAUCAACUUUUAUCCCCAAAGUAAAUAUAAAUAACUGGAAACUGAUCAAAAUUAAAAAUAGCAAAUUUAUAUAAUCUAAAAGUGUGUGUCAACGUUUUAUAACAAGCUGACAAAUAACUGUAGAAACAAAACUUUAACCUAAUAUUAUAAAACUCCUAUAAGUUGUUAAUAAUUCACAUAUAAUUGUAACAAAAAGGAGACAGCCAUUUAUAAAAUGACUGAAACUCUGUUUGAUUAAGAUAUAAUUAUUUCAUCUGAUUAUAACAGUAAAUGCCCACCGGUAAUUAUUGAAUUAUCAUUCAAAUUACCUUAUGAAUUUCAUAAUUGAUAAUAC
rnacentral:lncRNA from 1 species